UACGUAGGGUGCAAGCGUUGUCCGGAAUUAUUGGGCGUAAAGAGCUCGUAGGCGGUCUGUCGCGUCGGAUGUGAAAACCCAGGGCUACAACCCUGGGCCUGCAUUCGAUACGGGCAGACUAGAGUUCGGUAGGGGGAGACUGGAAUUCCUGGUGUAGCGGUGAAAUGCGCAGAUAUCAGGAGGAACACCGGUGGCGAAGGCGGGUCUCUGGGCCGAAACUGACGCUGAGGAGCGAAAGCGUGGGGAGCAAACAGG
rnacentral:rRNA from 1 species